rnacentral:rRNA from 1 species
UACGAGGGGAGCAAGCGUUGUUCGGAUUUACUGGGCGUAAAGGGCGCGUAGGCGGUCGUGACAAGUCACUUGUGAAAUCUCCGGGCUUAACUCGGAACGGUCAAGUGAUACUGUCGGACUAGAGUACAGAAGGGGCAACUGGAAUUCUCGGUGUAGCGGUGAAAUGCGUAGAUAUCGGGAGGAACACCAGAGGCGAAGGCGGCGAACUGGACGGCAACUGACACUCAAUUGCGAAAGCGUGGGGAGCAAACAGG